AAGUCGUAACAAGGUUUCCGUAGGUGAACCUGCGGAAGGAUCAUUAACACAUUGUCCAUUUGAUGAUAGUGACUUUUUUAGAGGAGUCGUUUUGAGUUUUUUUAAUAGGGCUCACUGUUGCUCCUCUAAUAUAAGGUCCUAUCAUUCAAACCUAAUAGCGAAUGAGUUGAAGUCCUCAUUAUUAAUUAACUUUAAUAAUUAGUGGAAUAAGACUAAAUGUAAUCACGUUUUAAUGAAUUCGUAAGAAUUUAUUCGACUAAAUGUUUACAAAACAAUAAAUAUAUAACCAAGACAACUUGUAACAGUGGAUACCUUGGUUCCCAG
rnacentral:misc_RNA from 1 species